rnacentral:lncRNA from 1 species
UGCCAUUUAGGGUUUAGCAUAUAGCAAAAUAGGCCCAGGGCUAUGCCCUCCCUCGAGGGAUUGGGCGCGUGCCGUCCUAAGGCAAUUCGUCUCGACCUGUGCGCGGACUAGGUUAUGCAGAGGGUAACCGUACUGUUGAUACACCCUUGCGGUGGAAACACUCGAACAAAUCAAGGGCUCGUAAGCCUUGGUAGUCGUGGACAUUUUUUGGCAAAGACUUAUUCAACGUCCGUGUCUAGGGAAGGCUCGUGGGUCACCUGAACCGAGCUGUGUCAGUCACGGUGCAUGACUUAGACUUAUUCUCGGUAUGCGACAGUCCGUGACUAGGGAAGGCUCGUAGGCAAGCAAGCUGGCUGGCUGGCCAGCACCCAGUCACAAGUCCCUAGUCACCAGGCAAGCAGGACUGCUGGUUGGCUGGCUGGCCAGCACCCAGUCACAAGUCCCCAGGGAAGCAGGCUGGCUGGCUGGCCUGCACCCAGUCACAUGUCCCUAGUCACCAGGCAAACAGGCAUGCUGGUUGGCUGGCUGGCCAGCACCCAGUCACAAGUCCCCAGGGAAGCAGGCUGGCUGGCUGGCCUGCACCCAGUCACGAGUCGCGACUCACGAGCCCCUAGUCACCAGUCACCAGUCACGAGUCGCGACACACGAGCCCACAGUCACCAGUCACGAGUCGCGACUCACGAGCCCCCAGUCACCAGUCACGAGCCCCUAGUCACGAGUCACUUAGUAACGCAAUCCAAAUUUUGUUUUCAAUGAAAUUUUUGAUGUCCAUGUUAUGUGUUUUAUGAUGCAAGUCCCAUGAUAAAUUUUAAUCAUAAUUAUAUUUUUAAUUUUUUAAAUAUUUUUUAAUAAUAUUUUUAAUAUUUUCUGCACUUUAAAAAAUUAUAAUUAAAUAAUCCCUUUCCAGAAAAUUCCAAUUUUUUGUGGGAAGUGUUAUUUAAUUAUUAACAACGUCCCUGUAAAAUUUCAAAAAAAAAUUCCAAGUCUAGGUACCUCAACUCAAAUAUGUGCCCCUUAUAUAAUUUUUUAAAAAUUCACCGUCUGUCAAAAAAUUCCAAAUUUUUUUGAGGAGAUUAAUAUUGGGUUUAUGAACAUUCGUGCAAAAUUUCAUGAAAAAAUUCGAAGUCUAGGUCCCUCAAAAGUGGUUUUCCUCCUAUAGCCAAAAAAGGGCUCUCUUUCUACAAAACUGGAAAAAACACUUCAGACAUAUAUAGGGGAGGGUAUGUGUGCUCCUGGCAUGGGCCAGAUUUUAGGCCAGCGCCUGGACAAAAAAAAAAUUGAAGGAUGUGGGCAUGAUAAGGCAAAUGUUGGCUUGUGAAUUGACGGACGGUGUAGCAAAAUCAAAAAUUUGGCUCGAAUGUGCAAAACCACCACGCGCGCGACGACUACGACUACGACUAAGACGUGGACGUGGCGCGCGCGCGUGUGUUGGCUUGCUAGAUGUGGGGCGUAGCAACGGAAUCCAAAUUUUUCAAUCGGAUGUGGGUAAAACAACACGCGCGCGACGACUACGACUACGACUAAGACGUGGACGUGGCGCGCGCGCGUGUGUUGGCUUGCUAGAUGUGGGGCGUAGCAACGGAAUCCAAAUUUUUCAAUCGGAUGUGGGUAAAACAACACGCGCGCGACGACUACGACUACGACUAAGACGUGGACGUGGCGCGCGCGCGUGUGUUGGCUUGCUAGAUGUGGGGCGUAGCAACGGAAUCCAAAUUUUUCAAUCGGAUGUGGGUAAAACAACACGCGCGCGACGACUACGACUACGACUACGACUAAGACGUGGACGUGGCGCGCGCGCGUGUGUUGGCUUGCUAGUUGAGUGCCGUAGCAACGGAAUCCAAAUUUUUCAAUCGGAUGUGGGUAAAACAACACGCGCGCGACGACUACGACUACGACUACGACUAAGACGUGGACGUGGCGCGCGCGCGUGUGUUGGCUUGCUAGUUGAGUGCCGUAGCAACGGAAUCCAAAUUUUUCAACCGGUCCCCAGUCACCAGUCACGAGUCGCGACUCACGAGCUCCCAGUCACCAGUCCCCAGUCGCGACUCCUGAGCCCCCAGUCACCAGUCACCAGUCACGAGUCGCGACUCACGAGCUCCCAGUCACCAGUCACGAGUCACCAGUCACAAGUCACGAGUCGCGACUCACGAGCCCCCAGUCAAUAGUCACCACUCCCCAGUCACCAGUCCCCAGUCACCAGUCACUAGUCACGAGUCGCGACUCACGAGCUCCCAGUCAACGUCCGUGUCUAGGGAAGGCUCGUGGGUCACCUGAACCGAGCUGUGUCAGUCACGGUGCAUGACUUAGACUUAUUCUCGGUAUGCGACAGUCCGUGACUAGGGAAGGCUCGUAGGCAAGCAAGCGGGCUGGCUGGCCAGCACCCAGUCACAAGUCCCUAGUCACCAGGCAAGCAGGACUGCUGGCUGGCUGGCUGGCCAGCACCCAGUCACAAGUCCCUAGUCACCAGGCAAGCAGGACUGCUGGUUGCCUGGCUGGCCAGCACCCAGUCACAAGUCCCUAGUCACCAGGCAAGCAGGACUGCUGGCUGGCUGGCUGGCCAGCACCCAGUCACAAGUCCCUAGUCACCAGGCAAGCAGGACUGCUGGUUGGCUGGCUGGCCAGCACCCAGUCACAAGUCCCUAGUCACCAGGCAAGCAGGACUGCUGGUUGGCUGGCUGGCCAGCACCCAGUCACAAG